AUUCCAGCUCCAAUAGCGUAUAUUAAAGUUGUUGCAGUUAAAAAGCUCGUAGUUGGAUUUCUGGUUGAAGCGACCGGUCGGGCGUUGAUUCGUCUGCACUGGAGUCGGUUUUGGCCAUCCUCUAGGAAAGUGCGUCUGGUAUUAAGUUGUCGGGCGUAUGAUCCUGGUCUUUUACUGUGAAAAAAUUAGAGUGUUUAAAGCAGGCUCUCGCCUUGAAUACAUUAGCAUGGAAUAAUAAGAUAGGACUUUGGUCUAUUUUGUUGGUUUGCAGACCGAAGUAAUGAUUAAUAGGGAUAGUUGGGGGUAUUUAUAUUCCGAUGUCAGAGGUGAAAUUCUUAGAUUUUCGGAAGAUAAACUUAUGCGAAAGCAUUUACCAAGGAUGUUUUCAUUG
rnacentral:rRNA from 1 species